rnacentral:rRNA from 1 species
GAUGAACGCUGGCGGCGUGCCUAAUACAUGCAAGUCGAGCGAACAGACGAGGAGCUUGCUCCUCUGACGUUAGCGGCGGACGGGUGAGUAACACGUGGAUAACCUACCUAUAAGACUGGGAUAACUUCGGGAAACCGGAGCUAAAACCGGAUAAUAUAUUGAACCGCAUGGUUCAAUAGUGAAAGACGGUUUUGCUGUCACUUAUAGAUGGAUCCGCGCCGCAUUAGCUAGUUGGUAAGGUAACGGCUUACCAAGGCAACGAUGCGUAGCCGACCUGAGAGGGUGAUCGGCCACACUGGAACUGAGACACGGUCCAGACUCCUACGGGAGGCGGCAGUAGGGAAUCUUCCGCAAUGGGCGAAAGCCUGACGGAGCAACGCCGCGUGAGUGAUGAAGGUCUUCGGAUCGUAAAACUCUGUUAUUAGGGAAGAACAAAUGUGUAAGUAACUAUGCACGUCUUGACGGUACCUAAUCAGAAAGCCACGGCUAACUACGUG